GUCAGGAUGGCCGAGUGGUCUAAGGCGGCAGACUUGAAGCUUUUGGCUCCGAUAUCUGUUAUCUUCACGGAUGCGUAGGUUCAAACCCUGCUCCUGACG